rnacentral:sRNA from 1 species
ACCAUAUCAUCUUAACAUGUUCACACUCAAAAAUCAAAUGUUUUACAUCUUCAUUUUCGCUACACAUAUUACAAGAAGCAGAAGACCUAUAUUUGCAUUUAAAAAGAAAGCUGUUACAGCACACUGUAUUGUUCAGCAUUUUGUAGUUAAAUUCACAUAUUCGUUUGUCAUAUAUAUCUUUUACUUUGUUUUUGUAUAUGUCAUUCCAAUAUUCUUUUCCCACUGAAAACAGUCUUUUAAACAAUGCCUGGUGACAGGGAGGUUUGAAUUUUUUGAACAAUAAAUUUUCGUAAA